CGUGAUGUGGAGCGAAAUAAAGUAGUGAAGCGUGUGAGCCAUGUGCCGAGAAAAGCUGCUAUUGUGUAAUGCGUGCCCGUACCGUAAACCGACACAGGUGGAUGAGGAGAGAAUCCUAAGGCCGACGGAAGAAGCAUUGUUAAGGAAUUCGGCAAAAUGACCCCGUAACUUAGGGAGAAGGGGUGCCUGCGAGAGCAGGCCGCAGAGAAUAGGCUCAAGCAACUGUUUAGCAAAAACACAGGUCUAUGCGAAACCGAAAGGUGAAGUAUAUGGGCUGACGCCUGCCCGGUGCUGGAAGGUUAAGAGGAGAGGUUAGCGAAAGCGAAGCUUUGAAUUUAAGCCCCAGUAAACGGCGGCCGUAACUAUAACGGUCCUAAGGUAGCGAAAUUCCUUGUCGGGUAAGUUCCGACCCGCACGAAAGGCGUAAUGAUUUGAGCACUGUCUCGACAAUGCAUCCGGUGAAAUUGAAGUACCAGUGAAGAUGCUGGUUACCCGCGCCAGGACGGAAAGACCCCAUGGAGCUUUACUCCAGUUUGAUACUGGGAUUCGGUACUGCAUGUACAGGAUAGGUGGGAGACGGAGAAGGAUGGACGCCAGUCUGUCCGGAGUCGCUGUUGGGAUACCACCCCUGUAGUACUGGGUUUCUAACCAGUUACCAUGAUCUGGUAAUGGGACAAUGUCAGGCGGGGAGUUUGACUGGGGCGGUCGCCUCCGAAAGGGUAUCGGAGGCGCUCAAAGGUUCCCUCAGAAUGGUUGGAAACCAUUUGAAGAGUGCAAAGGCAGAAGGGAGCUUGACUGCGACACCGACGGGUGGAGCAGGUACGAAAGUAGGACUUAGUGAUCCGGUGGUAUAAAGUGGGAUUGCCAUCGCUCAACGGAUAAAAGCUACCCUGGGGAUAACAGGCUUAUCACUCCCAAGAGUUCACAUCGACGGAGUGGUUUGGCACCUCGAUGUCGGCUCAUCGCAUCCUGGGGCUGUAGCAGGUCCCAAGGGUUGGGCUGUUCGCCCAUUAAAGCGGUACGCGAGCUGGGUUCAGAACGUCGUGAGACAGUUCGGUCCCUAUCCGGCGCGGGCGGAGGAUAUUUGAGAGGAGCUGUCCUUAGUACGAGAGGACCGGGAUGGACGGACCACUGGUGUAUCUGUUGUCGACCAACGGCAUGGCAGAGUAGCCAAGUCUGGAAGGGAUAAACGCUGAAGGCAUCUAAGCGUGAAGCCCCCCUCAAGAUGAGAUAUCCCUCCUUCGGGAGUAAGACCCCUUGAAGACUACAAGGUAGAUAGGGCAGAGGUGGAAGCAUGGCAACAUGUGGAGCUGACUGUUACUAAUAGGUCGAGGGCUUAAUCUG
rnacentral:rRNA from 1 species